GCAUGUACCUGUUCAUGCACAAAGACGAACAGAGAUCCAUGUAGCUGUUCAUGCACAUGUAAAGACAAAUGCAAAACAUUUGGAUGGACUUUAGGUCUACAUGUUGUAAAAGCAGCUUUGGUAGGUGUGCUCUGGGUUGCAGCAGUGUUAAUCGAUGGAGACUGGUAUGUUUGCUGUAAGAAUGACCACUCUAAACAACAGUCACAGUUAGCAUGCAAAGACAAGAGUAACAUAACAGUUGAGGAACAAGCAAUCAUCGCUGACUUGAAAAACCUCUCACUGGGGUAUGGGAUGCUUGCAGUCUUUCUGAUCACUGGCACUGCCACCUUUGUGUUGUCAAUAGCAUGGACAUGCCACUGCCAGCAUUCAUCUACAAAUAAUGACUGUGCAAGUUUUUGCAAUUGUGCAGAAUGUUGCACAAAACAAGGUUUAUUUGACGAGCUCAUUUUGGAAGCAGAGGAAAACAUAGUCACAAAUGUGCUGAGAGAAAAAGCAGAAGAGAUGGUGACUACAAAGCUCCAAGACUAUGUGAGACAAAGGCAGUGGGAAAAGUGUUUUGAUAUUGCUGACGAGCUGAUCAAAGACAUUAACGAAGUUACACAGGAGGACAUUCUUGCAGUUCCUGAGGCAGCAGCACCAGAGAAUGUUGCAGAUUCACAGGUUCAUCCUGGAACAACAGAUGACCUAAGAGAGAGAGGAGACGCAACAUAGAGGUCUGUUAAAAAAGGACAACAGUGAAACCAAGAAGAAAGUGAUUGACAAUAUGAGUAUUACAUUUUGAUUUAUCACCACCUUCAUCAGUCAACAGUGUUUCACCAAAAAAUAAAAUGAGCUUUAAUCUGUGAUUGUAGGGUGUAACGUCAGAAGAGCAGGCAUUAAGAUUAAGAGUCACAUUAUCUUACUGUUUGCAAACUUUUAAGUUUUCUCUUCUACUCAUUGAAUCAUCUUCUUGUUUUACCGCCCUGCCUUUAUGUCUUGUUGCUGAAUAAAUAAACUUAAUGGAAGUUGACCUCACUCUGUGCUUCAUCACACAUUUUGUUCCUGCGAUUGGUUGUAGGUGUAUCCAAAUGUGUCCAGAAUCAUUUUGGUCUGUAACCACUGAGUGUUUCCAGACUGUCUGGUGAUGUCAGGCAAGGGGUGUGGCUCUAAAUACUACUAUACCCACGAGCCUUGGCCAAUUUUGCUAUUGAGAAAAAAACAGUCAGAGUUGUGGUGAAUUCGAAAUGCUAUGUUGCCAUGGUUAAUGCAUUAUUAUAAAAUUCAUUUGGAAUUCAAUGAUCGAAAAAGAGGCAGUUUGUGUUUUCAGCUUUGUCUGCAGUGUAAUCUUUAGCUUCAGCUAACCAUUC